UAGAUGAAAUCGCUGAAUCCUAAUAGGAGCGGAGGAACCACUUUUGCACACUUUGUGCUCGGGGUGAAUCCUUUAUAGGUAGGGUUACUCUCAUAACCCGAAUCCGACAGCUAACUUCGCAAGCGUUUUGAGGGGGAGAU
rnacentral:sRNA from 2 species